CUAUAGGUACCUAAUAUUUGUUGUUUAUUUUUUAUUGUGAAUAAUUAUUCAAGGUACCUAGGUGAUACUACCAAUUUAUUAUUGUUAUUCAAAUAUGAAUGUUGAUAAUAAUUUAUAAUUUAUUAAUUUAAUAUUAUUUGAUUACAUGGGUUGUUAAGUACUAGGUAAGUAAAGCAAUUUCGAUCGUUUAUGUAGAUAUGUACAGCUGAAUAUCUGUUCAUUGUUAUGCAUGUAAAUCCGCUUUCGUGUGAAGCGCGAUGUUAAAUUUGUGUUUUAAAAAGCAGCUCCAGACCACGAGAGCAAACAACUCGCGAUCAAAGAUUCAUUAAUUUAACGAGUAAAAAGUAGAAGAAAGUAAAAGAGGAAAAGUCCAAAUUCAAAAAUAAAGCUUGUUUUGUUUUAAAUGGGUAGCCGAUAAUACAAUAUUUCCGAGAAGUGAUUUUGAAUAACUACUAUGCUGCCUGUUUUGUGUUUACUUUAAAAUCAUCAGUAAGUUGUGUAUUUAUGCCAGGAGAUCGAUUCAAAGGGGAUAAAUGUUGCUAAACGUUUGUGUUUGGAAAUCAAAAUUUUCACUGAUACUUACGAAGUUUUUAAAAAUUGUGCGUCUGUUGUUGAAUAGGUAGUGGUUUAAUAAUGUGCAGAAUAUUUUUGGUAAUAUAUCUAAUAGAAAUUAGAACAUUAAAUUUCUAUCUAAGUUUGGUAGCUAGAAGGUAGUUUUAUUGUAAUUUAAAGUUUAAAUGUACAAUAUUCAGAAAUGUUCCUGUAUUAUCCUAUAUUCGAAAAUCGUUUUUGAUAACGCAAAAUUGUCUCUGGAAAUAAUGUAAAAACUACUGUAUAAUAAUAUAAAGGUACGUAUAAAUCGAUUUAACAUUUACAACACCAACUGUAUUUGCUUAAUGACAGUUUUGAAAUUUUGAAUGUGCAUACGUAAACAUAAAUAGAAUCCUAUAUAAUAUUACAAGUACACGCGCAAGUCCCGAGUGCAUUAGUAAUUGCAAUUUUCAAGUAAAUCGAAAUACAAACAAUAUUAUUCAGCAUGUUCGGUGAAUACAAAAUGAAAAUAAUGUUUAAAACGAAAAAAAAAAUUGUUUAAUAUUUAAGUAUAAAAAAAUAUCAUCAAACAAUAAUUGUAAUAUUAUGUAUUUAUUUAGGACGGUCCGUUACUUAAUAUGUAGUCAAUUUAAGGACACAAUUGUAUUGUAAUAACAACGAAAUAAACUAUGAUUAAUAAUUUUUAUUGUGAAUGUUUGCAGUUGGUGAAUGUUGACAGUUACCAUUAUAUUAUUAUAUCGUCGUAUACCAAAGUAUUAGGUUAAUAUUGACAUAUUAACUAAAUUUGUACAGCGUUUCUAAACAUUUUUUAGUGACUGUUGGUAUGAUGAUGAUAUUGUUUUCUUUAAAUGUACCUAAUAUAGAGAUAAUGGAAAAGUCUCAGUAGUCAGUACGUAAAUAUAAUAAUAAUAAAUAAAAUUUUUUCCCAAAAUAUUUUAGCUGUAAAAUUACAUACAUAUUAUCUAAUAUUUUUUAAAUAAAGAUUUUUCUAAAUUCUGUUAUGAAUCAAUUAUACACCAGAAAUUAGUUUUCGGUGGGCAUUGAAAACAUUAUAUCGAUCGCUGAUGUACUAUAGGAUCAAAAAAUCUCUUUAAGGCAAACUUCUUUAUCAAAUUAAACAAAAAAUUAUGGGCAAGGAUACACACGAUGCAAUCACAAAACAAAGUCAACUACAAAACAGCGUGAUUUUGAAUAUAUUGGCAUUUUAUGUAACACAAAAUGCCAUGACAGUUUGUCAUGUUGCAAUAAUUAAAUUUGCACCAAUUUGUAUACCCAAUUAACAAUAAAAAUCGAACGUGCCAAAAAUAUUAUUUUAAUAAAAUAUAUGAUAUAUGUAUAAUGUAUAUAUAUUAUAUAUUGAUAAGUGAUAACUCUCAGCAUAAUGUAGGUAAUAAAGUGGGAUUGACAAUUAAAAGUUUCCCUUUUCGUUCAUAUUAAAGGAGAUACAUAUUAUUAACCCCCAUAAUAGCAUAUUAGUAUAGGUAUUUUAGAUUUUUUGAAAAGAUUGACGAAUGUAUUGAUUUUAUAAUAAAGUAGGUAUUUUUUUUUUUUUUUAUUUUAUUUUUUUUACUGUUUACACGAUAGAUGAAAAAAUGUUUCAAUAUUCAACAUUGAGCGGUUUUUGAUAACACAUUAAAUCUAGUUUGUAUUUUUGGGGGUUAACAUUUAAAAUGAUGUUUAUUUUUCAAUGUUCUAUCUAUCGUUGGAAAAAUAAAACAAUAAUUAAAAUUAAAAUUAUAUAAAACGACAAUAAAAAAGUUUUUCAGUACUUACCUAGUAAAAAUUAAUAUUUUUAACUAACCUAACGCCAUAAUUGUGAAAAUUCAAGCUUAGUGUUAAAAAUCACACUGCAAUUCUUACUUUCUAAAAUUAUGUAAAAUUAAAAAUAAGUGGAAAAGCAAACAACAGGUAUUGCCAGCAUACUUUGAUAACAAAAACUAUACUAUUCUAUGGUAAUAAUUAACUUUUACGAAUUUAUUUAUUCGUGAAUAUCAAGUAAGCAGUUCUCGUGAUCAUUUUAGCCAACUUUUCGGUCAAUACUCAUUCUUCUGCUUUAUCAAAAUAUUAUUAAUAAUAAUAUUAACAAGUUGCCAGAAAUACGGGGUUUCAAUACGUUCCAAUUAAAAAAAUAAACUUUUUUUUUUAGUGUAUUUUUUAUUUUAAAGUUUU